CUGCCUAGAAUGGAAAGAAGGGAUGCAGUUAAGUAACCUUGUUCCAUAUGCCCUUUCCCACAAAAGAUCCACUCGAUUUUUGACUGGGCUCAGUUCUCUAUUACCUUACUGAGAAGAUAUCCCUCGUCUCUGGAUACUGUAUGUAUAAGCUUUUGGUAAGCAUAAGGGAUAAAAACAUACAAACAUAGGCAAUAUAAAAAUGCCCCAUUACUGACAUUAAGGGGUAAUAAGGCAUGAUUAAAUCAUUACGACACAGAAAUUGUUUGCAGACUGCUAUUAAAUACAAUCCGAAAGGAAGUGGUGUUCUGACUAGAAAAACUAGAGCUGAGUUCAGACCACACACGUAAAAACAAUACUGGGAGCCCACACUGGGCCUUGAAUUCAUGAGAAUUCCCCUUCUUUAGCUUUCCAAACUCUGGGAUUAUAGGCAGUGUACUACUACACAUGACUUUGUACAGUUUAAAAUUGUGUAAUCAUCUGGGGGCAAAGCAUGUCUAAACAAAGACGAGGACAUUAGAGAUGGGGCUUUGAUAUAUAAAGUAGACUUGGAUCACUCAUCCAGAGCAUGAACAUUUGAAAAUGCUAACCAACCGUCACACUCCUAGGAAAAAUGUUGAAAUAGGGAUUACAUUUAAAAUAACUAUAAAAGACAGCAAAACACUCUGCUAAAAUUUACAGACAUUAAUGUACACCCAGAAAAGCUAUCUUACCAGCAGCCAUCCCCCAGACAGGGUGAUUGUUCCAGAGUCAGUACUAUGAGCCACAAUUCCCAAGCCUUCAUGCCCACCAAUGCAGAACUUCCUCUAAGCUAUGAGACAAUCAAGCUAUGUGACUGACCUGGAGAACUCAACAGCUCAGUGUGAGGACCACCAAGAUCAACAUGCCUAGAGAGGUCUCUGUGCCUAACCAUGUGGUCUGGUGCCUGUUCAACGCCUGCUGCCUGGAUUUCAUUGCCUAUGCCUACUCUGUGAAGUCCAGGGACAGGAAGAUGGUGGGCAAUGUGAUAGGAGCCCACUUAUGCCUCCACUGACAAGUGCCUGGACGUCAGCUCCCUGAUCUUCAGCAUCCUCAUGGUGAUUCUCUGCAUCAUUAUUUUCUCUACUACCUCUGUGGUAGUCUUUCAGUUUUAUUCACAAAGAACGCCACAUUUGGAUUCUGGCUGCUCAGGGUCUACUAUCCACAUCUGGCCCUCCCUUAAGGCUGAGGCCUUGACCCUUUACCCUAUGCAUAUGCAAAUGUUACCUUCACCUAUCUGUCCACAGUGGAUUCAGUAAAGUGCACUUGGUAGCAAAAAGGAAGGAAGAAAAGAAAGAAAGAGGGCUGGAGAGAUGGCUCAGUGGUAAGAGCACUGGCUGCUCUUGCAGAGGACUUGGGUUCAAUUCCCAGGAAUUAUGAAGCACCUAACAACUGUAAAUCCAGUUUUAAAAGGGACUGAAGCAUCACAUAUACAUAGGCAUAGGUAUGUAGGCAAAAACACCAAUGCACAUAAAAUAACAUUUUUUUCAAAAAGCUGCUACUAAAAUAAAACAAAAGGAAUUCGAGGGGGCCCAACAAAAUGGGUCACUGUGUAAACACACUUGCUGUACAGGCCUAGUGACCUGAGAGAGAAUUCACUCGCCACACAUGUACUGUGGCAAACAUGCCUAUGCACACACAUCAUAACUUCUAUAAUAACAACAAUGACCUAUGCACACAUAUCAUACACUUCUAUAAUAAUAACAGUAAUGACCACACAUGUACUGUGGCAAACAUGCCUAUGCACACACAUCAUACACUUAUACAAUAAUAACAGUAAUGACCUUUGUUUUCAAGAGGAGGUGAGAUGUCGCUCAGUGUGUUGAGUGUUUGACUAACAAGCUCUAAGCCUAGAUGUGAUCCCAGCACUGCAUAAAAUGGAUGUGGUGAUCCUGUUUUUAACCCUAGCAUGCCAGCUCUCAGGAGGCUGCAGCAGAUUCAAGGUCACCUUCAGAUACAAAGCAAACCCAAGGGCAGCUUGGGAUAAAUCAGCACAUAAAAGUCUAGUUUAAGCCAACAGAACCAACAGAAUGUUUGUCUUUCUUUUUUUGUUUUUUUUCCAACUUUAAUUUCAAAUUUGAAACCAGUCUAGGUUUCAUUCAAAGUCCUUGGUUUUUGUUUGUUUGUUUAAAAAAGCCAGGCAUGAUGGCAUAAGCCUUUUAUCCCAGCAGUGGAGGUAGGGGUCAGAGGCUGAGGAAGGUUUCUCUGUGUAACCCUGGCUAUACUGGAACUCACUCUGUAGAACUUACAGCCUCAACCUCAGAGAUCUGCCUGCUUCUGCUGGAUUAAAGGCGUAUGGCAAAAACAAUUUUCUUGGGGCGCGGGGGGAGGGUAAUUUGUAUUUUAUUUUGUCUUUUAUAUGUAGGUACUUUUUCUCCUUCUUUAAAAGCCCUCUCCCCACCCACCCACCUUGUGGCUCCCUACCCCUCAUCUGUUUAGCUCAAAUGACAUGGCUAUUUCCUCUUUACUUCAACCUCCACCUCUAGGCAGCUUCUAGAUUUACCGCUUACGGACCUAAGAUGCUUUACACUCUACUAAGCUUAAAACACACAGACACCAACAGUAUUUCCGCAUACCAACAAAGGUCAAUCCCUCUAGCAGACACCACUCUAGCAGAAUUUAGGAAGAAACAUAACAAAAGGGAUGGGGUGGGAGGUGGGGGAAUGGUGCAGACCACUGGCCAAGGUCAAGAAGACCCAUCCUUUGACAGCCAACACUGCAGAAAUGAAGUGAUGAAGGGUGUUGGUUCUCCUUAGGGCAAUCACCAUAAGAUUGUGAGGACUCAGGGUUGGGUAUUUAGCUCAGUGGUAGAGCUAGCAAGUGCAAGGCCCUGGGUUUGGUCCUCAGCUCCGGGUUUUUGUGUGUGUGUGUGUGUGUGUGUGUGUGUGUGUGUGUGUGUGUGUAUGUGAUGAUUCAUGACACCAUCAAGAUCACUUGAUAUAAUAUUUCCCUCAAACCUUUUUUUAAAAAAAUAUAAAUUCAAAAUGAAACAAAGAAUUAUUCAGUGGACAUAGUCAUAUUAACAGAACUAAGACAUAUAAUUGGGGGAUGGAGAGAUGGCUCAGCAGUUAAGAUCACUGACUGCUCUUACAGAGGUCCUGAGUUCAAUUCCCAGCAACCACAUGGUGGCUCACAACCAUCUGUAAUGGGAUCUGAUGCACUCUUCUGGUGUGUCUGAAGACAGCUACAGUGUAUUCAUAUAAAUAAAAUAAAUCUUUAAAAAAAAAAAAAAAACCAAACCUGAGGGUAUUUCCUAACAUGGUGCUGUGAAACCGGCAGGAAUUUUAACAAAUCAAGUUCUGAAGGGAUGAGAACUUACAAUAAAACCUGGCCUAAGGCAAGGUUUCAACGUGGCAGCAUCAAACACACACCACUUUCACAAUAAAAUACACACCAAUGACAUUUUUCCAACACUUAUAGCCAGUCACUCGCCAAGAUCUGUGAGAAAGCCAGAGUCCUCACCUUCCAGCCUAGAGCAUGCAGCCCUACCACUGCCCCAUAGUGAGAACAGAGAGGCCGUACAGGGUCUGUCAGGACCUUCUGCAGGGAGAGCAGAAUCUGCUGAUAGAGGCCACUUACAAGGUCUCCAUGAGUCCUGUGGAAGUAACAGGAGGAAAGAGAAUGAGAUACCACACAUAAGGUGUGUAACAUUUGUAGACCUCUCUGAGACAGGCUGCCAGGUGUGACUGGCCCAGGAUCCAAGGGACAAGACUUCUAUAUCUUAGUAUAUUUGUAACUGUACCAUGGCCUGCCAGCUAGGGGGCUCUAAGGAGAGGCUCCACAUUUAACAUUUAAUCUAAGAGCCAGAGGCAUCAUACAGCUCCCUAUCACAACCCAAUCAACUCUAUAAGCUAUCCCACCCUCUGUUCAGCUUGAGCCCAAUGGCUACCAGAAGAUGUGGCUGAGUAGGAGGGCAGCCCCAUCUCGCAGAGUCCAGUGGUCAUUCAAAGGGUUGAUGGAGGCAGCCAGUGGCUCCAAGACACAGUAAAGCACGCUGCCCACCAGAGAUCGGACAUAGGGCCCCAAGCAGAGGUGUGGGUUCCGUAUCAGGCUCCGUGCUACCUGCAGUAGUCGGUGCAGCUGCUCCAGGUCGUGGCUUACAGAUUUUACCUGUGGUAGGAGUGGGUAGCUUAGAGAGACAUGGAGAGACAGGAGCUUGCAAUUCUGACAGCAUCUUCUAUGAGCCCUAAACCAAGAAGGGUCAUGUUCGCUAGAGAAUUGAUCACUUACCCCACUGACCACAUAAACAAAGUAAGGCAGGAGUGCUGCAAUCUUGGAGUUUGUCUGCAGGUCCUGGAGGGCAACCUGAAAGAAACCACCUCAAUAAAAGGAAAGCUCUGGAGCCCGGGUUAGGACCCAUGUGUUAGCAUAGCAUGGGCUGGAGAGAUGGCUCAGUGGUUAAGAGCCCCGGCUGCUCUUCCAGAGGUCCAGAGUUCAAUUCCCAGCAACCACAUGGUGGCUCACAACCAUCUGUAGUGGGGUCCAGUACCCUCUUCUGGAGACAGUGACAGUGUACUUAUAUAUAAUAAAUGAAUAAAUCUUUAAAAAAAAAAAGAAACCCACUGACAUAGACAAGAACAGUACUGUCUGUUUACAAGAAAAGAAAAGCACAAGGCUAAGUGUGGCACAGGAAGCAGGUGGGGGCCAGUGUAAAGCCAGCAUGACCCUCUUUCCAAAAGAAAAAAAAGUGGGGACAGUGAGACUGUUCAGUCUGGUAAAAGCACAUGUUGCACAAGGCCAUCAACCGAAGUUCAAAUCUCACAAACCACGUAAAAGUAGAAGAAAGCUAACAAGUGUUUUCUGGAGACGGGGUUUCUAUAUGUAACAGCCCUGGCUGUUCUGGAACUCACUCUGUAGACCAAGCUGACUUUGAACCCACAGAGAUGCUCCUGCCUCGGCCUCCCAAGUGCUGUAACUAAGGGCAUGUGCCACCACCACCACGCUCAGAGUGUUUUUUUUUUUUUUUUUUAACCUUCACACAGGUGCACAGCAUGCACAAGUGUGUGAGCAAUUGUUCUGGUUUUUUUCGUUUGUUUUUGGUUUUUGUUUUUGUUUUUGUUUUUUGUUUUUUUUUUAAGACAGGGUCUGAUGUAGACGGCCCUUUAAUUAUGUAGCUGAGGACACCUUGAACUUCUGAUCACCCCGCUUCCCAUUUCCUAAGUGCUAGGAUUACUGGUGUUUGCUGCCAUGUCUAGUUAUUCAACAUCAUGUUAACUAAAAAAAUGGAGCUGUAGGUUUCCCUUGGUGGCUGGAGCCUGUAUAGCUCUGCAAAUGGGAGGCGGAGACAUAAAGGAUCACUGCAAAUGGCCCGAGCUGCCACAGUGAGUUCCAGGCCACAGGUUACACAGCAAGACUAAGACUAACCCUUGUCUCAAACAAAACAAAACCCCAGCUAAAAAAGGUAAGCUGUGAAAGCAGAUUAUGCUUAUGUGAUAGCAACAGUAACUUGCACUAGGAGCUAACCCGCGGGAGUGAGCCGCAGACCGUGUGCUUUCUACUGAAAAUAGCUCUGUCCUAAAUGCAUACUGGUGUUACUUUUAUAGGCAGAAGACAUUUAUUACAGCAAAAACAAAACUACAUCUGGGGCUGGAAAGAUGGCUCCGAAGUCGAGAGCGUUAAGAGUAACUGCUGUUCUUACAGAGGACCAGGGUUCAGUUCCCAGCUCUCACGGAACAGUUUACAACUCUGUAACUCCAUUGUAGGGGACACACAGCCUCUUCUGAUCUCCAUGGACACUGAGCAAAGACGAUGCACUUUCAUGCAUGCAGGCAAAACACUCACACACAGCAAAUAAAAAGCGAACAGUUCUUUAAGAAGAUUAAAAAGCAGCUAGGUGGCGGUGGCACAUCCCAUCAAUCCCAGCACUCAGGAGGCAGAGGUGGGAGGAUCUCUGUGAGUUCAAAGUCAGCAUGGUCUACAGAGAUACUUUUAGAACGACCAAGAAACAAACAAACAAACAAACAAACAGUGUCUGGAAAACAGCUAAGAGGUGGGCAGGGUGCCUUUUAAUCCUAGAGCUACAGGGAAGGAGGUAGGCAGAUCUACUGAGUUCAUGGUCAUCAGGCCAACCUACAUAGAAAGACCCUGUCUCAAAAAACAUAACCACCCAAAAAAACCCACCUCAUCCAUAAACUUGGGGCCAUCCAAGCCCUCUAGACAAGGAGGUGAGAGUGAAGAAGGGCCUAGCUCCCAGCCUCACAGCUGCUAGCUACAGGUGACUAAGAAGACAAACAAGAGCUAAGUUUCUGUUUCCUUGGCUUUUGUUGUCUACAGUGACAGGGUCUUACAAAGAAGCCCACAGUCCAGCCUCAAACUUGCCAUCUUCCAACCAGUGCUGAUAUUAUAGGCCCAUGCCACUGUGCGUGCCUCUGAGUGUUGGGACUCCAAUCCAGGCUUCUGCAUAUGCUAGUCAAUGCAGGGUAGCCUACCAGCCAAGUUCUGGGGAUAGAAACGGAUGCUGGCAAUGUUCCUAGUUUAUAAGCACAAAAGCAGCAGCUAGACAUGUGAGGACGGAGGAUCUAACUGCACACAGAAAGGUAAUAUGAUUAAGCAAACCAGAGUCUUCAUCUGGCCAUGGGUGGUGUCCAGAGGUUAAACCAAUAGCAGCUACCAGCCCAGGAACUAGAGAACCAGCCCAGUCUGUAGUGCACGCCAGGCUGGGCACCUAGGGGGACCUGACCUGGACCUCUAUUUCUUUUCCUUUCCUUACCAAGUCCAGAUAAAUUAAUGCCUCAAUUGGUUCCAGAUCAAUGGAUACCCAAAAAGAAAAGGGAACCCAAAUGAAGGUGUGGGAACACAAUCAGUAGAAGCGCCUGUAGUGCUGCCCAUUGCCAAGGAAGAAAGGGUUCUACUCAGGUACAAAGGAGCCAGGACUUGCACAGUAGGAGACCACUCAGAACACACACACCACUGGAGAACAGGUUCCACCACAGUAACUAGUUCACCUACGGAGAAUAGGAAUUAGAUGGCUGAAAAUACCCCAAGAUUUAAAGCUUUGACUUUAGGCCUAGUCAGGCUCAGUCUUUCACCUUCAUCAGCUGUGGAUCAUCGCCCAGCACAGCCCGUGUCACUUGCUGGUAGUAUUUGAGCAGGUCAUCUGUCAGUGAAGACACUGCACUGGGCACUGUGAGGAGAUAGGAAGGAAGUGGUCACCGAUAGACAGAUAACCUUCUGGAGGCUGCUGCCCUCCAACCAGCACUACCCCCAUGCACAGGCUCCAGCUGCACUCUGAUCAGGUAGGUUCCACGGGUCUCGGUUCUAUCUACUCUCACCUACCCUCUGCCCCACAGUUUCCUGCUCAGUUCUCAAGCUUCCAGUGGACAAGCCUCAGGCUCUUCAAGCUCUACUCAGCAUACCCUGGAAGUAAGACACUUCUCGGGGACCUCAGCAUGCAACCCAGACUUCUGUCUUGACCUCCAACAUACUGAAUGGUAACGGGUCAGGGUUCUAACUGUAACCAUAAGCCUUCUGGACAAGGACCUGUGUCCCUUUAGAACAGCAGGCACCCAUACAUGCUUGUGAGAUGCAGACCAAAAGGCAAGAGGCCCCUCACUCCUAUAGAGCUCUUCCAGACAGCCCAUUCUCCACACUGCCUUACCUGAUCCCUGAGGUGCCAGAUUUCCCUUGCCAUCCAGAUAGGAGACAUGAACUAGAAUCAGGAGACAUAGAUGGAUGUCAGUUGGGAUUUUACCCCUCCAAAUUCUGCCCUACCUCCAAGCUGGCCCAUCAGCACCACUCAGACCAUCCGGUUUGUGUCCUAACCCCAAGAAGGACCCUAGCAGCCACCUCUGACGGCUGUCUCUGCACAGCCCUUGGGGAUGUUAGUGGCCAGUGCCAGCUCCACCAGGUUCACUUCUCGAUCCUCUGGAAAGUAGAGUUCCCCCUCCCUUGCAGGGCGCAAGGGCAACACCUCCUGGGACCCAUAGCCACACACAGCCUGAGGAGAAAGAAGUUGACAAGCAGGGUGAAUUCAGUGAAGGAACAGGAGCCAGGCUCUCCUGACCGGGGCAGGAAGCCUACGCUGGAGGGUAGGCCACAUGUCCCCAGAAGCAAGAUGCCUGGAGAUCAGAGCUGUCUGUGGUUCACUGGGUCAAGAUUAUAUGUUGUCUUUCCUGGCAUAACUGUAAGGGUUCUGUGCCCCACUGCUAAGGAGCCAGUCUCUCCCGUUCACACCCAAACAAUUCUCAAAACAUAUUACCUUCCUCCCUCAACUCCUGGCCCCAGAGCUAUACCAAGACAGGUUAGCAUCCCCAUGUUUCUUCGGGCUGUUUACUUACCCAGCAUCCCUCUUUAUUUCUUCAAGCUCAUGUUCCUCAGUAAGGCCUGGCUCAAGCUCUACCUCUUCUGUGAGGCCUUCCCCAACCUCCAGAACUCAUGGGCCUUCCCAUUCUUUAGGCCCAGCACCUGGUCUGCUACAUUGUGUGUUUGUCCCCAGGUCUUACCCCUGCCAUCCCUGAUCUGAACAGGAGAGGUGGCUGGGCAUCCCCUGGGCCCUCUAUGGCCACACUCCACUAACCUCCACACUGCUCCACCUGAGAGCCCUGUUGAAGUCCUCCACUGUCAGCUUCCUUCGUUUGGUGUGUUUCAUGAACUGAGAGCUGUUCUGGGAGGGGAGGGAGAGAAUCCAGAAUCAGGGGACAGGGAGCAAAUAUGGGAACCCCCAAGGGAAAUGGGCUAGACUGAAAAGACAGAGAGAACUCCACACCAGCAGUCAGAGAGCCUGCAUUUCCAGCUCAGCUUUUGCACACCUUCCGCAUGCCAUGUCCCCAUGUGUGCCUCAGUGUCUGGUGUACAGUCUCACUAUCCAUCUCUUCUGCCUAGGUAGUGGGGCACUGUGAGAAAGUGUCAUGAGAAAGUGCCCAGCAAGUGUGUUCUUUUCUAGAUGUGUAACUGGCUAGAAAGAGACUCUCUUCUGACCUCAAAGCACAAGAUACCUGGCAUACGUUUGCUGAGGAUGUCAGUGGGAAGAACAAAGGGAGGAGGAGUGAGGGGAAGUGAGAGCAGCACACCUGGGUGGCCUCUCUGAGACGGUAGCACACAUCUUCAGCAAGCAGAGCGGCCACUUCGUCACUCAGCUCCAGCCCGGUGCUCUCUGCCAUGAGCCGGACUGACUCCCGAGGGAUCUCCACAAACCGCCUCUCUUCUCUUUCUGACAUGGCUCCAGUGGAACUGCAAAUGGAAAAAGAAGGUUGAAAAGCUGCCUAGUAUCUCUGAGAUUUCCCCCAAGCGUGAGGCAAGCAAGACCAUUCCAACCAUAUCUGCUCGUCUUGUCUUAUAAGCCACAAAGAGGGAGCUAAAGACUCAGCACAGCCCAGGUCCAGGAUGACCCACCCAGGAAUGCUCCCAGGACCAUCUCCAGGACCAAUAUGCACCCUACGUCAUCCACACAGCCAUCCUCCCAGUGGUUGCCGUUGUAAUACAGAAAGAUACCAGUCCAUGUGGUGAAGGCUAUGCAUGUGCCUUGCCAGCAUCUGUCUACAAAACCCUACUGUUUCUCGUCUUGUGUUCUAGACUCACACUUAUUGCCACCUUUAUCCCCUUACUUCAGGCCACAGUGUUCCUUCUGUCUGACACUGCCCUUCCUUUGUUCUCCUCCCCGAAUCUCUUAGACUCGGUGACCCAUCACCUACUCCAUCCUUCAGAUCCCUGUUCAAAUGUCAAGGACGUCUUCCCAGAUUGUACUGACUGUCCCUGUCAUUUGUCUUCAGUUAUGAAGCAGGAGGAUGGAUAACAGUUCAAAGUCCACCUGAACUAUUAAGUGAGUUGAAGGUUACCCUAACAACUCAGACUAUCUCAAAAUAAAAUGUAAAAAGAAGGCUGGAGCUAGACAGUGGUGGCUCACAUUUUAAUCCCAGAACUCAGGAUGCAAAGACAGGUGGAUCUCUGAGUUCGAGGCUAGCCCGGUCUACAGUGUGAGUUCCAGGACAGCCUGGGAUACACAGAGAAACCCUAUCCUGAAAGAAAGAAAGAAAGAAAGAAAGAAAAAAAAAAAAAAAAAACCUGGAGAUACCGCUCAGUGGCAGAGAGCUUUCCUAACAGGUGUGCUGCCUUAGGUUCAAAGACUCUGUAACUUCACAGCACAGCUCUUUACAACCAACCCCACUCUUUUUUAAGGGGGUACCGGGGCAUGCGCAUGCAGUUCCACAGUUGACUGAAAGUUGUACAGCAGCAGAGACCACAGUCCAUAUGCUCACCUGUGCAUCCCAAGCCUCCAGCAGGAUCAGCACACACUAUGCCCCCAUUCACACUUGCUGAAAAAAAGAAAGGAUAGUUGUUGUUUCUGAGACAGCGUCUAGACCAGGCUGACCCCCAACUCACAGAGAUCUCUCUGCCCCUGCCCCCCACCCCACACACCGAGUGCUAGAACUAGGGACAUAGGUCAGGACUCCUGGCCAUGAACAGCUUUGUUUUUUAAACAUUUAUUCACUAUUAUGUGCACUGGUGUUCUGCCUGCACGUAUAUGUCUGUGUAAGGAUGCCAGAUCCCCUGGAACUGGAGUUACAGACAGUUGUGACCUGCUAUGUCGGUGCUGAGAAUCAAACCUGGGUCCUCCAGAAGAGUAGCCAACUGCUCAGCCAUCUCUCCAGCCCAGCUAUUUUCUUUUUUCUUUUUUCAGAACUGGGGAUCGAACCCAGGGCCUUGCGCUUGCUAGGCAAGUGCUCUACCACUGAGCUAAAUCCCCAACCCCCCAGCUAUUUUUCUAAACACAUAAAUGCCCGUGGCUUCCAGCUAGUAACACUCUAUGACCUCAUCCUACCCUCACUAACACAGAGAUGUAUAGUUGUAUACAAUUGUCCAUUUCACAAAGUCCAGGAAGUUUCAGCUCAGAGAGGUUACCCGAACUGUCAAGACCAAACAGUAAGCACUGGGUAAUUAGAUUGCAGGGACUCAAACCCUGGCUGUAAUUCAAGUCAGGAUAAUAUAUUCAUGAGCGGUAGGUUUGUGUUUGAACUAGGCCUGGCUUUGUAGCCCAAAGAUUUAAAGUCCCACCACCAGACUCACCACUGAAUGAGUAUGCUUCAGUUUUCCCAUCUGUAAAAUGGUAGCAUUCAGUCUUGCUCAAGUGGAAAGUCAGAAGGGAGUUUCUCUAUUAUGUUCCCCUGUUGAGACCUCACAAAAUCCAGUCUGUGACCAAGGUCUCCCACUCCUUAGUCUCCUGUCCUGCACAACCUCAGUUCCAAGUCCUCCUGACCAGGAGGCGUGGGAACCGACUUCCAAGGGCUUCUAGGUUGCGCAUUCUUCCCACCCACCUACCUCCAACCCAGAUCCAGAGGGCGUGGGGUCGAGUGGGGAGGUCAGGGGUUACGGAACUUGUGUCACGUGCUCGAUGAGGGGGCGGGCCCCCGUGGGCUCCGAGGCUGGUGAGCAGCCCACCGUGAGAAGCAAUCCCUGGGUCCGGGCUGGACUCGCUCACCUCCGGACUCCGGCGUCGGGAAGGCGCCUGCCGGGGAGGAGAAGGUUGCUUCCACUCACCGGCUCACGGUAAUUCCCUCUCUCCGCGCUCAGGCUCCGCCCUCCAUACGCGGAGCCAAUCGGCGGCCGUCUACUGAGUUCUCCGCCCACCAAAGAGGCGUUCCACCUCAAGAUUGGUCAGUGUGAAUGUGCGGUAAGGGCACUAAGGCGUCGUUGGUCACGUGAGUGGCGCUUCUUAAAGCAACAGCUCUUGUUGGUGAGCUAACAGGUGUGUCACUGCAUAAAACAAGCUGGCCAUGAAACUCAGGCCUUCCUCUGCUUCCAGAGUGCUGGGAUCAAAGGUGUGUGCUACCACACCGCUUUCCAGUUUAUGAUUUUAAAAGUUUAAUUCUGGACUGGAGAAAUGGCUCAGUGGUUAAGAGUAGUAACUGCUCUUCCAGAGGUCCUGAGUUCAAGUCCCAGCAACCACAUGGUGGCUCACAACCAUCUGUAAUGAGAUCUGAUGCCCUCUUCUGGUGUGUGAAGACAGCUACAGUGUAUUCACAUACAUAAAAUAAAUAAGUAAGUCUUUAAAAAAAAAGUUUAAUUGUGUGUGUGUGUGUGUGUGUGUGUGUGUGUAAGCUUGCAAAUAAGAGGACAACUUUGAGGAGCUGAUACUCUUGUUCUACUGUGUAGGGACCAACAGUUGAACUCAGGUUGUCCGGCUUAUGCAACAAGCUUUUUUACUUGUCUUCGCCAGCCCACCAGUCCUGUGUAAAGCUGCAUACAGCUCACGUUGUAACAUGCUUGUCUAGUACUUGCAGGACAUAAACUAGCAAGCACUUGGGUGAAAACGGGAGGAUCAGAAGUUCAAUACUAUCCUUGGCUACUUAACAAGUUUAAGGCUAUAGGAAUAGGGAUAUAGGAAACCCUAAGAAAGUAAAAUUUAUUUACUGUGCUUUAGGUGAUCAAACCUACAGCUUUGCAUGUGAUAGACAAAUGUUCUACCACUAAGCUACAUCCUCAGUGUUCUUUAUUAUCUAUUUUUUUAAUAAAUCUUUUUUUUUAAACAUUGUUGUGAGCCACCGUGUGGUUGCUGAGAAUUGAACUCGGGACCUCUGGAAAAGCAGUCAAGGAAGCCAGAGUGGCCGGAACUCCUGAAAAUGGAGUAACAACAGGUUGUUGUGAGGGUAAUUGAACUCAGGUCCUAUGCAAGAGCAACAAGAGGUCUUAGCCCUUUAUUAUUUUUUAAUAUCUAAUUAUUUUUUUAUUUUUUUAUUUUUAUUUAUUUAUUAUAUAUAAGUACACUGUAGCUGUCUUCAGAUACACCAGAAGAGGGCAUCAGAUCUCUUUACAGAUGGUUGUGAGCCACCAUGUGGUUGCUGGGAAUUGAACUCAUGACCUCUGGAAGAGCAGUCGGGUGCUCUUAACCACUGAGCCAUCUCUCCAGCCCUAAUUAUUUAUUUUAUGUAUGUGAGUACACUGUAGUUGUCUUAAGACACACCAGAAGAGGGCAUCGGGUAUCAGAUCACCAUUACAGAUGGUUGUGAGCCACCAUGUGGUUGCUGGGAAUUGAACUCAGGACCUCUGAAGAGCAGUCAGCAUUCUUAACGACUGAGCCAUCUCUCCAGCCCAACCCCCCCCUCCAUUUUUUUUAAUACCAAAAAGGAGCUUCCUGCAAGAGAACAUGGCCAUAUACAUCCACCCCUCUUUCUUUGAGGUUUUGAUAGUGCUGCUGCUCCUGCUGCUUGGAAAAGAAAAUCCUCUAGGACUAAGCUAAAAGAGCCAGAUGGAUGGAAUUGCGGUUGCCAUGGCAACACCAUCUGAGGAUACUGAGCCUGCUGUCUCUCCCAGUUAUGUUGACAUUUGGUGUGGUUUCCAUGCUUGAACACUGAAGUGUCUGUCCACCUAUGAAAGAGAGGCCGUUCCCAGAGGUCUUAAUUUAUCUGCUCCAUCAGUAGCAUUUGGACUGCUUACAUUUAUGUCUGGACAACCAUUGGCCAGGAGGUAGAAGAGGAUGGAGGAAGGCCCAGACCUGGCUGGGUACUAUCGGAUCUAGUGAAGCUGUAUAGAAUCUGUCUGGGGUUUAUUUACUCCCAACUGGAGCAGAGGCAGGUGCUCAGGAAGGCAGUAAUGAGAUCGACCUUACCACAGGAAAUAAAGUGACUACUGUGGAUACCAUCUGGGAUGGAUCACCGCUGAGCCACUCCACCCUCAGAACAAAGCUACCAUAUCGUUAAAGUGUCCUGAGCUCAGGGGAAGGCCCCUGCUGCCUGUGAGUAGAGCCAGGUAACCUUAACAAGCCCUAUCUACACUUCAUCUUAAGGCAUUCUGUUACAUACAAAGAAUUCUACUCUUUAAUGAGCAGACUUUAAAAAAAAUGAGCCAACUUACACUUUCAGAAGUUUGAUCCUUGAUUGCACAUGCCUGAGACAGAUGGCCAGUCUCAAGGACAGGCCUCCCACACUGAAGUUAGUCUUCAGCAGUAUGUCAUGUCACCUAGGCAACCAAUAAGAGCUCACCUAAGAAAUUUCCACUUUACCUGGUAAAGAGCGUAUCUUCCCUCCCUUUCUCUCCAAUUAGCAUCCUCACUUCCAGACUUCCCUACUACCGACUUUAAAAGAUCAAAGCCAGGCACGAUAGCACAGGCUGAGGUCGGAAGGCAGAAGCCAGAAAGAUCUAUGUGAUUCCCAGGCUACUUAGCACCACACAGUUGAGACCCUGUCUAACAAAUGGAGGUGGGAGGCAUGGCAGUAACCUGAACCUACAAAUUUAUCAAAAUUUCAAUUAAGAACAUUUUGUUUUGUUUUUGAGGCAGAAUCUCACUACGUAGAGUGGGCUUACACCCAGUUCCAAUUAAGAACAUUUUAAGGGCUGGAGAGAUGGCUCAGCUGUUAAGAGCACUGGCCACUCUUCCCAAGGUCCUGAGUACAAUUCCCAGCAACCACAUGAUGGCUCACAACCAUCUGUAAUGAGGCCUGAUGCCCUCUUCUCUUGUGUCUGAAGACAGCUACAGUGUCCUCAUUUAAAUAAAAAAACAUUUUAAAUAGAAAAUCCAACAGGGAGGCUGAUGAGAAACGACAUAACCUUUGUCCAGGAGUGUGGUUAAGGGGAAUGGAACCAUAGUAGAGUCCAUUUCUUUUUCUCUUUUGAGCCAAAAAAGUUUUAUUUAUUCAUGUCUUCCAUUUGAAGUACUCCUUGGUGGCAUCCUAAGCCUGAGAUUCUUUGCCAUACGUAGUUCUUAACCACUACCCAACUGCAACCAACUGUUUUCUGUGGCAUCCCUCUUGAUGACUUUUACACAGGGGUUGGGGAUUUAGCUCAGUGGUAGAGCGCUUGCCUAGGAAGCACAAGGCCCUGGGUUCGGUCCCCAGCUCCGGAAAAAAAAAAGAUUUUUACACGGGCACACCCACUCCACUAGUUUCUCAUGAUCAAGUAUAAUCAGAUUGAUCUGGUGCUCGGCACAAAGUGCCUCCUCCAGCUCGACACACACGAGCUCAUCACAGUCGGAUUCGAGCACACAGAUGGGUUUGGCACUUGUCUAAGGCUUCAGGAGCUUUGUGUUUGCCAACGUGCUGGGCUAUCGUGGAUGAGGGCGGUCUUCAGCACCUCUUGUAGAGCAGUGUUGACAUCCACACCUCCAGUGGCAGUGCCCUGCUCCGCUCUCGGAAGCUGAGGUGGAAUAGCAAGUCAGUUUCUUCUCUCAUUUCCCAGACACCAUUAUGGAUGCCUCAGUGUCAGCUGUUCAUUUGUCACUUACUUUUCACAAUUGUGUUAUUAUUAUUGAUAGAUUAUUGUCUCUGUCACUAGCUACCGAGGCAGGGUCUCACAGGACUUAUCCAAUUGUUUCUGCCUCCCUCGAGCUAAGCCUGAAGGCAUAUAUGAAUCAUCUCACCAAGCAGCAUCAGCUUUUAAGAGUUUCUGAACGUCAACACGUUAACACUGGGGCCAUAUUAUGUACGAUGUAAUUAAUCCUCGAGCAACUGGCCACACAGCCCUAAAAGAAAAAAAAAUCCAGAACCAAACAAACCAAAAACAGGCACGAAUGGUGGCACACACCUUCAAUCUUUACACUUGGAAGGUGGAUCCAGGAGGAGUAGGAAUUCGAAGCCGGCCUAGAGUACCAGUAGUUGAAGGCCAGCAUCUGUCUCAAAGCAAACAACGAUAAUAAAGUACUUGUUUCAGCUGGGAGGUGGUGGUACAUUGUGGAGGGAGAGGCAGACCUUGAACACUGGGUUCAAGGCCAGCCUGGUCUAGAGAUCAGAUCCCCAAAACAGCCAGGGAUAGACAGAGAAGCCCUGUCUCAAAACGUGAGGCUGGAGAGAUGGCUUAGUGGUUAAGAGCACUGACUGCUCUUCUAGAGAUCCUGAGUUCAAUUCCCAGCAGCUAUAUGGUGGCUCACAACCAUCUGUAAUGGGAUCUGAUGCCCUCUUCUGUGUGUCUGAAGACAGCUACAGUGUACUUAUAUACAUGAAAUAAAUCUAAAAAUAAUAAUAACGUGCACAAUGUUCUGCCUGCCUAUAUGCCUGCAAGCCAUCCCUCCAACCCAAUAAAUAAAUAUUAAAAAAAAAAAAAAGCACAAAACCAAACCAAAAGUAAAAUAAAUAAACAACUUUUAUUCCUACCAAGAGAAGACACAUUUCCUUGAGAACUAAGGACAACAUGUUUAUGGUUAGAACACAGAAGAGAAUAAGAGCACAGCUCAGCUGGAAGAAACAAAGUGUUCUGGGGACAAGGAGCCUUCUUCCCUGCCCCCAUAACAGUGGCCAGAUUGAACCUCUGGUACGACAGUCAAGUUGGUGCUGAGUUCAAGUUGGAAAGUCACACUUUCUAAAUCAGGAUCAAAGCAAGCUGGAGGCUCCCUCACUCAGCUCACAAGUCCUGUGAAAUCAGGAAAAAAAUAUCAGUUAGACACUGAGUUCCCAGGCAGCCAAAAACCAAAGAUUUCCCACCACCAAAGACAAGGUAUCUUGGAUUUCCAAGGGAACAGAAUGAGAACUUAUAUCUCUGACUGGCAUUUAAAUCCUACAGCCAUCCCCUCUCCAGCACAUCCUUUCUCCAGGGAAUGGUCCCAGCACCCAUGUCAGGCACUCACCCAAGUAGUCAUCCAUCAGAGAGCCAAUAGCAAACUGCGAGAGGAAAGGGAGAAAGGAUGGUGAGGUGGGGCCCCACCCCAUUCCGAGCCUUCUGUCAUCUAUUCCCUGCUCAUGGACACAGAGCACAGAGCCCCCAACAACUGUGGAUGGCAAGAGGUCAACAGCGCAGAUGGGGAAAGAGCUUGCUCCAACCCUGAUGACCUGACCUCCACCCCCAAAAUCCACAGCAGCAUGCGAUGACCUGAAGGCGGUCUAAAUGUCACACUGUGGCGAGUGUGUAUGCCCACACAUCCACAUAAAUAUGUUCUACAAAAGAAACGAGAAACCCACAGCUGUCAGCUGUGAAUGAUGACUUUGGAUUAUUUAUAAUCCUACUACCCAGGAGGCUAAGGCAGGCCAGUCAAGCAAGAGACUCACAAUGUCAUUCUUGUCUACACGUGUCCCUACAAUCUUCAAGCGUAUCUCAUCGUCCUGCUGAAUUACAAUGUCCUGUGGAAAGGAGAGAGCAGGGUCAUCAAGCAGACUCAGGCCUGGUCCUCAUCCCUCUCACCAACUCCUCCUCAUUCGCUCACCUCAUCCAUGGUCUUGUAACAAGGGGGGUUCGAAUUUGGAUCAAACUCCAUCUCUGAAGGGAUGGACUAGAAGGAAAUUGACACAAAGGUUAGCAUUUCAAAUAGCUGCAUCAAAGGAUGAGAGUCAGGGGCUGGUUUCUCCUCCUCGGCCUCACCCCACACGCCCAGACUCACGUGUCGAGAGAUGAAGCAGGACAUGGGCCCAAUUUCUGUGAAAAGUCCAACCUAGAAGGAAAAUGACCGUGCUUCAAACGCUCUGAAGCAUCUUUACCUGAUUUCUAGGCACAUUAUUCAUGUUUCUUAACAGUUUAAAUUGUAGCAUUUGUUUUAAUUUCUCUCUGUGUAAUCUUUCAUUUCUUUACAUUUUUGUUCUUCAUUAUUUUUAUGUGUAAGAAUAUUCUGACCUCACAUGUGCCUGUGCACCAUGUACCUGCAGUGCCCAUGGAAGCCAGGAGAGGGUAUUGGGACCCUGCAGAAUUAGGAGUUACAGAUUAUUGUGAGCCAUUGGCUGGGUGCUGGGAGUCAAACCCAGGUCUUAUAGAACCAGUAGGUGCUCUAAACCACUGAGCUAUAGACCCCUUAGCCUUUAAGAAACUUAAUUUCUGAGGCUAGAGAGAUAGCUCAGUGGUUAAGAGCACUGACUGCUCUUCCAUGGGUCCUGAGUUCAAUUCCCAGCAACCACAUGGUGGCUCACAACCAUCUGUAAUGAGAUCUGAUGCCCUCUUCUGGUGUGUCUGAAGAGAGCUACAGAGGAGUGUGUAUAAUAAAUAAAUCAGGGGCUAGAGAGAUGGCUCAGCGGUUAAGAGCACUGAUUGCUCUUCCAAUGAUCAUGAGUUCAAUUCUCAGCAAUCACAUAGUGGCUCAUAAUCAUCUGUAAUGGGAUCUGAUGCCCUCUUCUGAUGUGUCUGAAGACAACAGUGUACUCAUAUAAAUAAAAAUAAACAAACAAACCUUAAAAAAAAAAAAAAAAAAAAGAAAAGAAAACCCAAAACUAAGAUAAAAUAAAAUAAAUCUUGACAACCACAAAAGGCUUAAGGCAACUAAUAAGUGGACUGGGAAUUGAACUCUCACCUUAGGAAAUACCCCGUAACCUUUCUUUUUUUUUUUUUUUUUUUUCUUCUUUUUUUUCGGAGCUGAGGACCGAACCCAGGACCUUGCACUUCCUAGGCAAGCGCUCUACCACUGAGCCAAAUCCCCAACCCCAUAACCUUUCUAUAAAUAAUACUCUUACCUUGUUGACCUGAGUGACCACAGCAUCCACCACUUCCCCUUUAAAGGGCCGGAAAACAAUAGCUUUGUAUUUCACUGGAUAAAGAACAAAACCUCGGCCCGGCUGGAUCACACCAGCACCAAUAUUGUCGAUGGUAGUGACAGCAAUCACAAAGCCAUAUCUGCAGGAAAGAUGAAAAAAGACAGCUACUGUAUGUGAAGAGCCUCUAAAAAGCCACCAGCAAUAGUCUGCGUGUGAUGGAACCUCUGCUCGAACAGCUCGAUGACCAAGAAGAGACAGAACUCAGAUUAGCACCUGAAAUAUUAAAUGGUGCUCUCACAAUUGUACAGUAAAUGCCCAAGAAGGCACAGAUAUGCUGACAUACACCUAUUCUCUCAGUACCAGGACUUGCCAGGUCAGUGGUGAGACAGGUCUUUCGAAAACCACAAAUCAGACAGAAAAUUGUGACGAAAACCUUUAAUCCCAGCACUCAGUGGCAGGCAGUUCUCUGAAUUAGAGGCCAGCUUGGUCCACAUAGUGAGGCCAUCUCGAAACCCAAAACAUUUGCAUAAUAACGGUCUGAUCUCGCAUAAGCGAAGAAAAUUUGGUUUAGCAACCUUUUAGAAGGCCCAAAAUAGGCAAAAACUGGCUGCUUCGGAUGCCUGGAGUGGUGAAAGAGUUCCUCAGAGUAAGUAACAAGCCCUGACUGAAGGAGUGAAGUAGAGGUUACAGAGUAGCGUUAUUGUGCCUGCAUUCAGCAGACGACACUGUGAAUCAGACACUUACUUCCCAGUGCAGGUCCCCUCCACCUCGGUGAACAGCUUCUGCUUCACCGUGUUGAGCAAGUUGGGACCAAAGUAGCGUGGGUGCAGUAGGAUCUCGUGCUCCAGGGAAAUCUG